GAAAUCUUUGCCCGUGACGUCUCCGUGAUAAGAUGACGAAGUUUCUGUCUGUCUGUUUGGCUGUUUGUGGUGAGUUUUCUCCGGUACCAGUCAUGGUGUUUCAACAAAACUGAACUUUAGCGGAGAGGAAACCUCAGCUGUCACGAAUUCAAGUAAAGCAGAAGACGAAGACGUUGAAGUAAAGCACACUAUUAUAGUAUCAACUAAACUGAGGAAUAACAACAGAAGAGGAAUUCACGGUUUUGAGGAUGGUUAGAAAAUUAUUGGUAAAAUUUGACCAUACACUUAAAACCUUAAAGCUCUUGAGGUCUUUGGUAGGC
rnacentral:misc_RNA from 1 species